rnacentral:rRNA from 1 species
UGAGACACGGUCCAGACUCCUACGGGAGGCAGCAGUGGGGAAUAUUGCACAAUGGAGGAAACUCUGAUGCAGCAACGCCGCGUGGAGGAUGACACAUUUCGGUGCGUAAACUCCUUUUAUUAGGGAAGAUAAUGACGGUACCUAAUGAAUAAGCACCGGCUAACUCCGUGCCAGCAGCCGCGGUAAUACGGGGGGUGCAAGCGUUACUCGGAAUCACUGGGCGUAAAGAGCAUGUAGGCUGGUUUGUAAGUUGGAAGUGAAAUCCUAUGGCUUAACCAUAGAACUGCUUCCAAAACUGCAGACCUAGAGUAUGGGAGAGGUAGAUGGAAUUUCUGGUGUAGGGGUAAAAUCCGUAGAGAUCAGAAGGAAUACCGAUUGCGAAGGCGAUCUACUGGAACAUUACUGACGCUGAGAUGCGAAAGCGUGGGGAGCAAACAGGAUUAGAUACCCUGGUAGUCCACGCCCUAAACGAUGCACACUAGUUGUUGCUAUGCUAGACAUAGCAGUAAUGCAGUUAACACAGUAAGUGUGCCGCCUGGGGAGUACGGUCGCAAGAUUAAAACUCAAAGGAAUAGACGGGGACCCGCACAAGCGGUGGAGCAUGUGGUUUAAUUCGACGAUACGCGAAGAACCUUACCUGGCCUUGACAUAGGAAGAACUUACUAGAGAUAGUUUGGUGCUAGUUUACUAGAACUUCCAUACAGGUGCUGCACGGCUGUCGUCAGCUCGUGUCGUGAGAUGUUGGGUUAAGUCCCGCAACGAGCGCAACCCUCGUGUUUAGUUACUAACAGUUCGGCUGAGGACUCUAGACAGACUGCCUGGGUAACCAGGAGGAAGGUGAGGACGACGUCAAGUCAUCAUGGCCCUUACGGCCAGGGCUACACACGUGCUACAAUGGGGUAUACAAAGAGCAGCGAUACCGCGAGGUGGAGCAAAUCUCAUAAAAUAUCUCCCAGUUCGGAUAGCAGUCUGCAACUCGACUGCUUGAAGUUGGAAUCGCUAGUAAUCGUAGAUCAGCAAUGCUACGGUGAAUACGUUCCCGGGUCUUGUACUCACCGCCCGUCACACCAUGGGAGUUGAUUUCAUUCGAAGCGGGGAUGCUAAAAUAGCUACCUUCCACAGUGGAAUUAGCGACUAGGGUGAAGUCGUAACAAGGUAGCCGUCCCUA